CAGGGCCACCUCCACCACCAACAUCAGGGCCACCACCAACAUCAGGGCCACCACCUCCACCACCAACAACUUUCAAAGUGUCCACAGUGCCAGAACCUACAGAACUCCCAACAACUCUUCCUCCGUACGAGCCCACUGAGGAUCAGGACGAGACUGAAUCACCACCUCCACCUACCACAACUGUAGCACCUCCACCACCACUUACCACAACGUUAGGGCCACCACCAACAUCAUCAGGGCCACCACCAACAUCAGGGCCACCACCACCAACAUCAGGGCCACCACCUCCACCACCAACAACUUUAAAAGUGUCCACAGUGCCAGAACCUACAGAACUCCCAACAACUCUUCCUCCGU